rnacentral:misc_RNA from 1 species
GAUGAAGAACGUAGCGAAAUGCGAUACGUAAUGUGAAUUGCAAAUUCAGUGAAUCAUCGAGUCUUUGAACGCACAUUGCGCCCCCUGGUAUUCCGGGGGGCAUGCCUGUCCGAGCGUCAUUGCUGCCCUCAAGCACGGCUUGUGUGUUGGGCCCCGUCCUCCGAUCCCGGGGGACGGGCCCGAAAGGCAGCGGCGGCACCGCGUCCGGUCCUCGAGCGUAUCGGGCUUUGUCACCCGCUCUGUAGGCCCGGCCGGCGCUUGCCGAUCAACCCAAAUUUUUAUCCAGGUUGACCUCGGAUCAGGUAGGGAUACCCGCUGAACUUAAGCAUAUCAAUAAGCGGAGGA